rnacentral:rRNA from 1 species
UGGGGAAUAUUGCACAAUGGGCGCAAGCCUGAUGCAGCAAUGCCGCGUGAGUGAAGACGGCCUUAGGGUUGUAAAACUCUUUCGCUAGGGAAGAUAAUGACGGUACCUAGUAAAGAAGUCCCGGCUAACUCCGUGCCAGCAGCCGCGGUAAUACGGAGGGGGACUAGCGUUGUUCGGAAUUACUGGGCGUAAAGAGUUCGUAGGCGGACUAGCAAGUUAGAGGUGAAAUCCCAGGGCUCAACCUUGGAACUGCCUUUAAAACUGCUAGUCUAGAGACCGGAAGAGGUUAGGGGAAUACCUAGUGUAGAGGUGAAAUUCGUAGAUAUUAGGUGGAACACCAGUGGCGAAGGCGCCUAACUGGUCCGGUACUGACGCUGAGGAACGAAAGCGUGGGGA